rnacentral:rRNA from 1 species
CCUACGGGGGACAGCAGUGGGGAAUAUUGCACAAUGGGGGAAACCCUGAUGCAGCGACGCCGCGUGAGUGACGAAGGAUCUCGGUACGUAAAGCUCUAUCAGCAGGGAAGAUAAUGACGGUACCUGACCCAGAAGCCCCGGCUAACUACGUGCCAGCAGCCGCGGGAAUACGUAGGGGGCAAGCGUUAUCCGGAUUUACUGGGUGUAAAGGGAGCGUAGACGGCAGCACAAGUCUGGAGUGAAAUCCCGGGGCUUAACCCCGGAACUGCUUGGAAAACUGUGGGGCUGGGGUGCAGAGGGGUAAGCGGAAUGCCUAGUGUAGCGGUGAAAUGCGUAGAUAUUAGGAGGAACACCGGUGGCGAAGGCGGCUUACUGGACUGUAACUGACGUUGAGGCACGAAAGCGUGGGGAGCAAACAGGAUUAGAUACCCCGGUAGUC